rnacentral:rRNA from 1 species
UACGUAGGGGGCUAGCGUUGUCCGGAUUUAUUGGGCGUAAAGAGCGUGUAGGCGGCCAGGUAGGUCUGCUGUGAAAACUCGAGGCUUAACCUCGAGAUGUCGGCGGAAACCAUCUGGCUAGAGUCCGGAAGAGGAGAGUGGAAUUCCUGGUGUAGCGGUGAAAUGCGCAGAUAUCAGGAAGAACACCGAUGGCGAAGGCAGGUCUCUGGGCCAUAACUGACGCUGAGAAGCGAAAGCAUGGGGAGCGAACAGG